ensembl:misc_RNA 7SK 7SK RNA
GGAUGUGAGGGUGAUCUGGCUGCAACAUCUGUCACCCCAUUGAUUGCCAGGGUUGAUUCAGCUGAUCUGGCUGGCUAGGCGUGUGUCCCCUUCCUCCCUCACUGCUCCAUGUGUGUCCCUCCCGAAGCUGCAUGCUCGGUCAAAGAGGAUGGCCUUCCCUGAAUAGAGAUGGACCUGUCUUCAGUCGAGGGUAUACGAGUAGCUGCGCUCCCCUGCUAGGACCUCCAAAUAAGCUCUCAUUAAUUGCAGAUUAAUAAAAUCCAGCAUAACAGGAAUAUUAAAUAAAACUUUUGUUUGAAAUGUUAUGGUGU